rnacentral:rRNA from 1 species
UGCCGCGUGAGUGAAGAAGGCCUUUGGGUUGUAAAGCUCUUUCGUCGGGGAAGAAAAUGACUGUACCCGAAUAAGAAGGUCCGGCUAACUUCGUGCCAGCAGCCGCGGUAAUACGAAGGGACCUAGCGUAGUUCGGAAUUACUGGGCUUAAAGAGUUCGUAGGUGGUUGAAAAAGUUAGUGGUGAAAUCCCAGAGCUUAACUCUGGAACUGCCAUUAAAACUUUUCAGCUAGAGUAUGAUAGAGGAAAGCAGAAUUUCUAGUGUAGAGGUGAAAUUCGUAGAUAUUAGAAAGAAUACCAAUUGCGAAGGCAGCUUUCUGGAUCAUUACUGACACUGAGGAACGAAAGCAUGGGUAGCGAAGAGGAUUAGAUACCCUCGUAGUCCAUGCCGUAAACGAUGUGUGUUAGACGUUGGAAAUUUAUUUUCAGUGUCGCAGGGAAACCGAUAAACACACCGCCUGGGGAGUACGACCGCAAGGUUAAAACUCAAAUGAAUUGACGGGGACCCGCACAAGUAGUGGAGCAUGUGGUUUAAUUCGAAGAUACGCGCAGAACCUUACCAACACUUGACAUGUUCGUCGCGACUCUAAGAGAUUAGAGUUUUCGGUUCGGCCGGACGAAACACAGGUGCUGCAUGGCUGUCGUCAGCUCGUGUCGUGAGAUGUUGGGUUAAGUCCCGCAACGA